GAUGAACGCUGGCGGCGUGCCUAAUACAUGCAAGUCGAGCGAAUGGAUUAAGAGCUUGCUCUUAUGAAGUUAGCGGCGGACGGGUGAGUAACACGUGGGUAAUCUGCCCUUAAGACUGGGAUAACUCCGGGAAACCGGGGCUAAUACCGGAUAACAUUUUGAACCGCAUGGUUCGAAAUUGAAAGGCGGCUUCGGCUGUCACUUAUGGAUGGACCCGCGUCGCAUUAGCUAGUUGGUGAGGUAACGGCUCACCAAGGCAACGAUGCGUAGCCGGCCUGGGAGGGUGAGCGGCCGCACUGGGACGGAGGCACGGCCCAGACGCCUACGGGAGGCAGCAGUAGGGAAUCUGCCGCAUUGGACGAAAGUCUGACGGGGCAACGCCGCGUGAGUGAUGAAGGCUUUCGGGUCGUAAAACUCUGUUGUUAGGGAAGAACAAGUGCUAGUUGAAUAAGCUGGCACCUUGACGGUACCUAACCAGAAAGCCACGGCUAACUACGUGCCAGCCGCCGCGGUAA
rnacentral:rRNA from 1 species